UACGUAGGGUGCAAGCGUUAAUCGGAAUUACUGGGCGUAAAGCGUGCGCAGGCGGUUAUGUAAGACAGAUGUGAAAUGCCCGGGCUUAACCUGGGAACUGCAUUUGUGACUGCAUGGCUAGAGUUUGGCAGAGGGGGGUAGAAUUCCACGUGUAGCAGUGAAAUGCGUAGAUAUGUGGAGGAACACCGAUGGCGAAGGCAGCCCCCUGGGUCAAGACUGG
rnacentral:rRNA from 1 species